rnacentral:lncRNA from 1 species
UAAAUUCACAUAAUAUCACGUCAAAGCAGUCGGCAAACACAGACAACUAGACGUCUCUCUGACCGACUCUUUUCAUCAAGGUUUCUCACUCUUUCUUUCUCGACUCUAUUUCCAACUCAUCAUUCCUAUUUUCUUAAUAGGAUAAAUCAGUCUCUCUGACAACUCAGUACCCGGUAACUCAAUUCCCGGUAGUCGGAAAUAAAAUAAAAUCUCAACUCAAUUCAAUCAGCAUCUCUAACUCAACUCAUUUCUCAAAUCUCAUCACUCUAACUCCAUCAUUCGUUUGUCCGCUCAUAUCUCUAUUUAAAAGACAAUCUAUCUUAUCUGGUCCUAAAAAAAAUAAAAAAAUUAAAAAAAAUUAUAAUCUCACAUCUCGACAUCUCAGUACUCUCAAUAGUAUUAAGACACUAUCUCACAACAUAAGGAAAAGUACGGGGUGUUCAACCUUGUUCUUGUAUUUCUUGUUGCCCAUUUGACCUUGUCUUGGGGCGUCUUUGGCUUUAGGAGAGAAAGCUCGGCGGAGAGUCACAUCAAGCUUAACCAUCCAGAAUCAACAAGAGCACAUCAA